rnacentral:rRNA from 1 species
AGAGUUUGAUCAUGGCUCAGAAUCAACGCUGGCGGCGUGCCUAACACAUGCAAGUCGAACGCGAAAGUCCCGCAAGGGAUAAGUAGAGUGGCAAACGGGUGAGUAACACGUGGGUGACCUGCCUUCGAGUGGGGGAUAACGUCCCGAAAGGGACGCUAAUACCGCAUUACAUCCUGCCUUUGAACAGGCGGAGAUCAAAGCUGGGGAUCGCAAGACCUAGCGCUUGAAGAGGGGCCCGCGUCUGAUUAGCUAGUUGGUGAGGUAACGGCUCACCAAGGCGACGAUCAGUAUCCGGCCUGAGAGGGCGGACGGACACACUGGGACUGAGACACGGCCCAGACUCCUACGGGAGGCAGCAGUGGGGAAUUGUUCGCAAUGGGCGCAAGCCUGACGACGCAACGCCGCGUGGAGGAUGAAGACCUUCGGGUCGUAAACUCCUUUCGAUCGAGACGAAUGGCUUCCGGGUGAAUAUCCCGGGAGAUUGACGGUACCGAGAGAAGAAGCCCCGGCUAACUCCGUGCCAGCAGCCGCGGUAAUACGGGGGGGGCAAGCGUUGUUCGGAAUUACUGGGCGUAAAGGGCUCGUAGGCGGCCAACUAAGUCAGACGUGAAAUCCCUCGGCUUAACCGGGGAACUGCGUCUGAUACUGGAUGGCUUGAGAUUGGGAGAGGGAUGCGGAAUUCCAGGUGUAGCGGUGAAAUGCGUAGAUAUCUGGAGGAACACCGGUGGCGAAGGCGGCAUCCUGGACCAACACUGACGCUGAGGAGCGAAAGCCAGGGGAGCAAACGGGAUUAGAUACCCUAGUAGUCC